ACCGUGGCCUCAGGGUGCAAAAAUAAAUUACAAUGGUAAAUUACUUAUUUACAAUAUUAAAAACAAAUUUACAAGUUUUUAAACAAAUUUACACGUUUUUUUAACAACUUUACAAGUUUUUAAACAAAUUUACAAGUUUUUUUAAUGAGUGAAUACAUUUACAAUGAGUGAAUAAAUUUUAAAUUUUUUUUAACAAAUUUACAAGUUUUUUUAACAAAUUUACAAUGACCGAACAAAAGUAAAAGUUUUUUAACAAAUUUACAACGAGUGAACAAAUGUACAAGUUUUUUAACAAAUUUACAAGUGUUUAAACAAAUUUACAAUGAGCGAACAAAAUUACAAGUUUUAAAACAAAUUUACGUUUAUUACGGAAAGGGUAGGUACAACACGCUGACGUCACGCAUCUGAGCCUCCGGUGAGAAACCCGGAAGUAUCGCCGUGAAUCACAUGAGAGUUGUGAAUGCGAUGUUGUGUAUUAGGCUGUACAUAAUAUUAACGAAAGAGAGUGAUAAUAUAUAACCUUUCAUCGCUUCCGAAGUGACUAAAAGGGAUAUUGGACCUUAUUUUCAGAUUACAGACAACACGAGAGGGUGCUCCAAACUUUUUAAUCAGGACUGCAUUGUUUGUUCGCUCCCGGGGUUACAUAGACUGAAACGGGGAAGCGUGACGAGUUUGUUUACAUGGUGCUAUAAACUCCAACCCAGGAGGACACUUCAGAGGAAUCACAGGGAUAACAUGGUGUGAUUUUUUUUUGUCAAAACCAGAACUGACUUCCGAAUCCACCUGGAACGCAUUUACUUUGAUGGAGAUUUGGGCGGAGGCUAAACCCUCCAAAUAGUAUAUUUAGAGAAAUGGAAGUCAGUAAAAAUUAAGUUGGACUCAUUGUUUUUAACAACUGGCUACCUAACACAUGCUUAUAAACCCAGGAAUAGCACACACACACACUUCUAACAGACAUGCAAUGCACACAUUAGAUACGUGUUAAGAAAAAUAACUGUACAGUUUUAGAACAACUCAUUUAUACAUUAAAUAAACUUAAUUUCACUCAUUGUUCAAAA